rnacentral:rRNA from 1 species
UACGUAGGGUGCGAGCGUUAUCCGGAAUUAUUGGGCGUAAAGGGCUCGUAGGCGGUCCGUCACGUCGGGAGUGAAAACUCGGGGCUUAACCCCCGAGCCUGCAGUGGAUACGGGCAGACUAGAGGUAGGUAGGGGAGAAUGGAAUUCCCGGUGUAGCGGUGAAAUGCGCAGAUAUCGGGAGGAACACCAGUAGCGAAGGCGGCUCGCUGGGCCGUUCCUGACGCUGAGACGCGAAAGCUACGGGAGGCGAACAGG